UACGUAGGGUGCAAGCGUUAAUCGGAAUUACUGGGCGUAAAGCGUGCGCAGGCGGCUUUGCAAGACAGAUGUGAAAUCCCCGGGCUUAACCCUGGGAACUGCAUUUGUGACUGCAUGGCUGGAGUGCGGCAGAGGGGGAUGGAAUUCCGCGUGUAGCAGUGAAAUGCGUAGAUAUGCGGAGGAACACCGAUGGCGAAGGCAAUCCCCCUGGGCCUGCACUGACGCUCAUGCACGAAAGCGUGGGGAGCAAACAGG
rnacentral:rRNA from 1 species